GCCACAGUUCCAAGUCCCAACAGCGUCAGGUGAGACCUCCUCGAGGACAGGCCAACAGUAAGAAGCAGUGAGAAGUGCAAAGAGGAAUAACAGCUCCAAGCCCCCGCAGUACUCCAAACAGGCCAGCAGCCGGCGAUAAGGCUCAUCCAGAACAGGUGAGCAGCAGCCCCGAGCCCUUGCCUGCCAGGGUGAACCCACAGUCGGCGGCAAACUCUCCCAGCUGAGCUGGCAACACAAAGGAACAGGGUCCCAGCCCAGCAGCUUUAGAACGAGCCAGCAACCUGAUGACGAAGCUUUUAUCCAGGCUUCUGACGGGGACCCACAAAGACCCUGGAUUCUAGGCUUAACCUCAGAAUGCUCUCACAAUGAGAACUUGAAGCAGAGCCUUCCAACUAAUAUCCACAACUUUUUUGACCAAAUAAAAAGAAUUAAGAAGUACAUCGUUGAUUACCUGAGGAAGUGUAACCAAAACUGGAAAUGUACCCGGGAAACCAGUCGUAAUCGACCACAUAGUCUCCAGAACCUUCAACGGAACUUGCUCCACUAUUGACUAAACCCAUUAUCUUGCUAUAUGCAUGAUAUUUACAUUGCAUUGAAUUUCUUUUAAGGUUUAUGUAAUGUGAACAAUACCACCAUAGAAUUUGGAUCACUAUAAAAGACGUCCAUAGGCCCGACUACUUCAAUUAGAGACGUUUUUAGUUUAAAUCCGAU
rnacentral:lncRNA from 11 species